ensembl:lncRNA
CCGGCAGCCAACGAGGAGAGCUAUGAACCCACUUACCUCCUGAGAGCCCCAUCUGUCUGCUGUGUGUAGGCUCUGCUGGCCGGUGGUCUUCAGCAUUUGGCUGGCCACCCUUAGUUUCUUGGUCCUUCUUUGUGCCAAUAACUCUGAAGUCCACAGCUGCUCUUGGCUGCUAUUGGAAACCUAUGCACUGCUGGAAAGGCUAUUGGAAUGCUAGAAUAGAACUAAGGAUGUGAAUUUCAGCAGGAGGUGCAGACGUGAAUGAUGUUGAAGAAACCGUCCAAGAACAGGAAACCCGGGCACAGAGUGAUCCGACCAUGGCCUUAUAAAGAAAUGCCGAUUGCAGCUGCUUAGCUUGUUCCUGUCACUUCCUUCCCUCCAGCUAUAAGUGUUACCUGCAUAUAUGGUGAAGCCAAGGACAAUGAACGGUUUUAGGUUUGAAAUGUUGCCAGACCUCUGUUGUGAUUCAAACAAGUCUUUUUAAAUUUAUUAUGAUGCAUUUCCGGAUUUUCUUUGAUGAUACAAGCAAAUAUAUACUUUUAAUUCAUAUAUAUGCAUAUAUAUGCAUAUAUCCCUAAAGUCAUGUUUAUCUCUAGGAAAAUACCACAGUGAGUGCCGAUCUCAGCUUAGACAGACCAAAUCACCACAGAAGUACAGAAGCCAAGAAACACAGUGUUCGUGAUAUAGAACUUGUUUGCGUUUGCCCAGAUACGGAUGUGUAGAGAAGUGGAAGUGUGUCUCCUCAAGCCAUUUCCUGGAGCAUGAGAGAAAGGAAGGAGAUGAAGGCUGGGAUCCAGGAGGCAGACACGUUUUGCCACAGUGCGUUUUGCUUACGCACUCUGAGACUCUAAAUGGAUGCUGCUGCCAUGGAAGCUCCAACAACCGUGGAAUUAUGGGAAAGCUCUUCUCAGCCGUUAGCUUUGCUGUAUCCGAGACUGGUGUAGAAAGAAGCAGAGCUUUUGAAGGGUACUUUCCAGGAGAUGUUUUCUCUUUUCUUGCGGCUAGCACAUAGAGAGAAAAACGAAAAACAAGCAAGCAAGCCAGCCAGCCAGCCAGCCAGCCAGCCAGCCAGCCAGCCAGCCAGCCAAUGAUCUUCUCAGUCUCACAUUAAAAGGCAGCUGGGUAUGUAGCUCAGUGGUAGAGCGCUUACCUAGGAAGCGCAAGGCCCUGGGUUCGGUCCCCAGCUCCGAAAAAAAGAACCAAAAAAAAAAAAAAAAGGCAGCUGGGUAAAUUGAUCAGACUUGUAGCAACUUGAGACCAAGAUGGCCAAUGUACAGCUAGACCCACGAUCUAUAAGACAAGCCUCUGGUCCAUCCUGAUGCUCCUUAGGCAGAUGAAAAUGUCUGUCCCUGCAUUUCUCCUCCUCAUUCCACUGCAGGAAGGAAGCAGUAAGCAUCUGGGUGGAUGGGAAGGACAGGCUGCUGUUGUGCCUAUGCAUUUGUAAGCAAGUCUGGGUCCUAAAUACACGGAAUCGGAAGCAGGUUCCACUUCGUACAAUUAAUAAAGAAACAAUAAACCUGAAAUUGGAG